AUACAGAGGGUGCAAGCGUUAAUCGGAUUUACUGGGCGUAAAGCGCGCGUAGGUGGCUAAUUAAGUCAAAUGUGAAAUCCCCGAGCUUAACUUGGGAAUUGCAUUCGAUACUGGUUAGCUAGAGUAUGGGAGAGGAUGGUAGAAUUCCAGGUGUAGCGGUGAAAUGCGUAGAGAUCUGGAGGAAUACCGGUGGCGAAGGCAGCGAUCUGUCCUAAUACUGACACUGAGUUGGGAAAGCAUGGGGGGCAAACAGGAUUAGAUCCCCUGGUGGUCCAGGCCGUAAACGAUGUCUACUAGUCGUUGGGGCCCUUGAGGCUUUAGUGGCGCAGCUAACGCGAUAAGUAGACCGCCUGGGGAGUACGGUCGCAAGACUAAAACUCAAAUGAAUUGACGGGG
rnacentral:rRNA from 1 species